GGCCGCUCCCGCAGCUCCCGGGGUUUGAACCUGGGACCUUUCGGUCUGCAAGUUCAACAGCUCAGUGCUUUAACACACUUCGUCACCGGGGCUUCCAGUUAUGAAGAAGGAACGAAAAUAAUUGUAUGGUUGGGGGUCACCACAAUAUGAGGAACUGUAUUAAGGAGUCCCGGCAUUAGGAUGGUAGAGAACCGGGGAUGCUGGGAGUUGUAGUUUUACGAGGACUUUCGCCUUCUCCAGACUGUAAUUGCCGUGAUUCCAUAGGCAGUUCAAGCGGUGUCAGGCUGCGUUCAUGCAGCUUGCUACAGACGCACUGCCUCUCUCCGGCCUCGGGCGCCGCUCUGCUGAGGAGGCUUCUGGCCCUUCUGGAAGCGCUGCGGUGGACGAGGGGCGGCGGGGCGGGCCUUCCCUCUCUCCUCCCCCUCCAAGCUGCCCUCCCCUCCGCUUGCGGUGUGUUUAUGCCAGGCCCACCGCCCAGCCGGACGCCCCGGCGCCUCGGCCCUUCGCCCGAAAGAGGAGCCAUGGAGAGGCAGGAGGACGCGGCGGAAAAGGCGCCAGUGGCCUCGGAGCAGGCAUUACCACUGAACAAUGGUCUCCAGCAUCAGGAAGCAGGCCCCGUCCUUUCUCGAGAUAUUAAGGAAUCUGCUUUGGAAGCCAAUGCAGGAGUUCUGGAGACCAAAGACCUCAUUGCAGAGGGCAAAACUACCAAGCUGAAUGGGAUGUCAGGUGGCCGGAGCAUGAACUGUGAUCCCGAAGUUGUGGCACGAGAUGCCAAGGCAGCAAACGGAAGUGGCAGAGUGACAGGACUGACUGCCGAGACCGCAGAUGCAAAGGCCAAAGAGUUGGAUGAAGCUGAAAAUGGUCGGCCUGAAGCCACAGGAACAGAGAAUAAGCAAGUGAAUCCAAGCAGAAAGGAGUGUGUGAUCCUAGGAGACAUGAAUGGUGACAGGAAGGCCAGAGUCACUGCACCAGGUGAUAAAGAUGUCUGUCAACAUAUCCAAGGACCAGACCUGGAUCCAACAGGAGCAGCAGCAAUCAUAGCAGCAACAGCCACAGCAGCAACAACAGUGGAAACUACUCUGCUUGAACAGAGAAACAAAGAAAGUGACGGGGACAUCAUUUCUCUCGAUUGUGAAAUUCUUGGCUUUGGCCCUGACAUUGACUUUUUGGGGCCAGAUGCUGAGCUCUAUAUGCAGUUUAUGCGGAGCCACCACUGUUAUGAUGCCAUCCCCACCAGCUCAAAACUGGUAGUGUUUGACACCACCUUGCAGAUUAAGAAGGCCUUCUUUGCCAUGGUGGCUAAUGGGGUGCGAGCUGCUCCUCUCUGGGACAACAAAAAGAAAUGUUUUGUGGGUAUGCUGACUAUCACUGACUUUAUUAACAUCCUACAUCGCUACUACCGAUCACCUCUGGUUCAGAUAUAUGAGAUUGAGGAGCACAAAAUUGAAACAUGGCGAGAGGUGUAUUUGCAAAGUUCCUACAAACCCCUAGUGUGCAUCUCCCCAAAUGAUAGCCUCUUUGAUGCUGUUUAUUCCUUGAUUAAGAACAAAAUUCACCGGCUGCCUGUGAUUGAGCCCAUCUCAGGGAAUGUCCUUCACAUCCUGACACACAAGCGGAUCCUUAAGUUUCUGCAUAUUUUUGGCGCCAUGCUUCCAAAGCCACGUUUCCUGCAGAGAACCAUCCUGGAGCUGGGCAUUGGCACCUUCCGGGACGUUGCGAUUGUACUGGAGUCAGCUCCUGUUUACACAGCUCUGGAGACUUUUGUGGACCGCAGAGUUUCAGCAUUGCCGGUUAUUAAUGACAAAGGGAGUGUAGUUGGGCUCUACUCCCGCUUUGAUGUGAUUCACUUGGCUGCCCAGAAGUCCUACAACAACCUGGAUAUAAGUGUGGGGGAAGCACUGAAGCAACGCUCAGUUUGCCUAGAAGGAGUGCUCACAUGCCACCCGUACGAAACGAUGGAAGAGAUAAUUGACCGUAUCGCCAAAGAGCAGGUCCAUCGCCUAGUUCUGGUGGAUGAGAAGAACGCUCCGCGGGGGAUCGUGUCCCUCUCUGACAUUCUCCAAGCUCUGGUGCUCACGCCUGCAGGUAUCGAUGCCCUAAACUCUUAAGCUGCUCGACGCUCCAUCCUUCCUCCAUUUGUACCCUCCAUUUCCUCCGCUUGUCUCCAGCUCAGGCAUUGACCGCCAUUCACUCUGACGAUGGGAAAGACCACUUUCUACCCCUCACCUUGGGUUACUGCCACCAUGUCUCUUAAGCAUGGCAGCCAGAUAAGGUGGGGCUUAUCUAUGCAGGACAAUGGUGAAGGAAGGCAAGAGAAGAAGGAGUAAAAGGGAGGAGGAGAACCUGGACUUCAGCACUGUUGGAAGAGGUUCAUCUCCUUCAACCUACUACAGUGUUCUACAGAGAGGAGAGACUACUGGUCCUCGCUGGCCACUUCACCUGUUGUCGUUUGCCUCCUUCACUAGCCUACUGCUGAUGAGAAAUGAUGUGACCGAGUGUAUAUAAGACUCCAACUCGCUUAAAAGCCACCUUACUUCAGCCUAAGCCAUUUGUUUGAAAUGAUGCUACUGCUUCGGAUUCGAGAGCAAUUAACGCUACUCACCUUCCCAAGGGAAAGCUCAAGUAGCAGCCAGAGGCAGCUGAUUUAUUCAAAGCAGAUCCCAUUGCUCUACUACAGAAAAGGAUUUCCCUCCAUUAGUUGGCCUAUUUUGGAGGGGCAUGGGGGGAAAGGCAAGUUCUUCAGAGCUGCCUCCAGUACAAGACUGAGUACUGAACGAGCAAAUUCAUUGGUUGUUUUUUUUACUUGUUUCAUCAUACUUAAGUCAGCGGUAGUGAGAGGAAGAAUACAUUUUACAAGAGAAGUAGGCACUGGAUAUUUGUGAACUGUUAAGCCCCUCUCAAAAUGCAUUUCCUCUUGUUACUAGACCAGUAUGGAGCAGGCAACCUCUGGCCUUUUCAGCAACUGUUGGACUGUAACUCUCAUUAUCCUGGACUGUGUUGAGUAGAGGUCCUGGGAGCUAUAAUAAAAGAAUAUCACAUAGGAGAAUCCUGAAACAAUAGCCAAUGCCAUGUUUUUUGUAUAUUUGUAGCCCAGAGAGCCUGGCUCACAGCAGUUCAAGGCUUGAGGCUAGUAGGUAGGGAUGAUAAGUAUUGUAGUUGUCCCAAUACCAGGUUCCCCAUCCCUGUGCUAGAAGGUAGGUAACAUGUUUCCAGUAGAGUUUGUGAUGGUGGGGUCUUGAAUCAGGAAUGUGUACACUUUCUAUGCUUGUUAUUUUUGUUCAUUAAAGUUUCAUAUUAAGAUACAAAUAA